CACUCAUUCACGCCUCUUUCAGGUCCCUCACUCUCAUCUCAACUCUCUAUCGAUGGUGUCUCUCUCUCUUCUCUUUAUCAUCUCAGACUGAGUUCUCUCUCACACUCUCAUCCAUCUCAGAUCAGAUCGGUGUACUGCUGCUCGUCUCUCUCUGUCGAUCAUCCAUCUCAGAUUAGAUCGAUAGCUAUAGCUAUUGUCUCUCUCUUUCGAUCGGUGGAUUUAAUCUCAAAUUGAUUGUUCAUGUCAUCUACAAUGGAUUUGGUAAAUAUGUCAAGUACCGGAGACACAAAUGAUGUAAUUGACCUCUCUCAGUCUCAAUCUGAUAAAGAACAUGAUCCUCAGCCUGAAACUCCUUCAGGUUCAAAGGUAUGCCCCCCCUCAUCCUAAGCCAAAAUCUAGACAAUAUUCUGAAGUUUGGGAGUAUUUUACCAAAAUUUUUAAAGAAGGGAGUAAGACUGCUGCAUGUGCUAAAUGUAACCAUUGUAAAGCUUCUUAUGCUCGAAUUAGUGGAAAUGAAACUAUCACUUUGAGAAAACAUAUUGAAAAUUGUCCUAAGUCCCCUUAGAAUAAAGAAAAAAAAAAGACUUUGGCAUUUCAAUCUGUAACCGAAGGUGAAAAAACUCUUGGAGUUUGGAAAUUUGAUCAACAAGCAUGUAGGAAUUCACUUGUUAAAAUGGUAAUCACUGAUGAGUUGCCAUUUAGUUUUGUAGAGCGUGAAGGAUUCCAUCAAUUUUGUAGUGUGAUGCAACCUAAUUUCAAAAAGUUUUCACGCUUUACAGUAGCAAGGGAUAUUGUGGAUUUAUAUUGUAGUGAGAAGAAAAAAUUGAAAAAUGUGUUGAAGAAUGCAAACUAUAGACUUUGCCUCACUACAGAUUCAUGGACAUCUCUACAAAAUGUUUCAUACAUGUGCCUAACAGCCCACUUUAUUGAUAAAGACUGGAAUUUGCAAAAAAGAAUUCUCAACUUUAGUGUGAUUUCUAGUGACAAAGGGGAGGCAAUUGGUAAGGCAGUGGAAUCAUGUUUAGUUGAUUGGGGUAUAGAGAAGAUUAGUACAAUCACUGUGGAUAAUGCAAGUGCAAAUGAUGUAGCUAUUGCAUAUGUGAAAAGGAAGUUUUCAAAAAACAUUGACUCUUUGAUUUUAAGGAGUGAGUACUUGCAUAUGAGGUGUUGUGCCCAUAUAAUUAAUUUAAUUGUCAAGGAUGGGUUAAGUGAAAUAAAAGAUUCAAUAACUCAAAUUCGUGAUGCGGUGAAGUAUGCAAGGAGUUCUCCACAACGAGAGCAAUUUUUCAAGACAAGUGCUGAAACAAAGAGGGUAACAUGUAAAAGCUUGUUGUGCCUAGAUGUUCAAACUAGGUGGAACUCCACAUACUAAUGCUAGAUGUUGCAACAAAGUUUCAAAAAGUAUUUGAGAGAUUAGAGGAUGAGGACCCACAUUUCAAACUAGAACUUAAUCAUGGACCUCCUACCUCUCAAGAUUGGGAAGAUGCUCAUGUUUUUACACAAUUUUUGCAAAAGUUUUAUGAUGCAACUGUUCGCUUGUCUGGUUCUUUGUAUGUCACUUCCAACUUGUACUUCACUGAAGUUUGUGGUAUAGAAAGUGCCUUAACUGAAUGGGCAAAGAGUUUAGAUCCUUCUUUUGAAAGCAUAGCAAUAAAAAUGAAGACUAAAUUUGACAAGUAUUGGGGAAAAAUUGAAAAAAUAAAUAUGAUGUUAUUGAUUGCUAUUGUGUUAGAUCCUCGUUAUAAGUUGAAGUAUGUGAGGUUUUGUUAUUUUGAAGUUUAUCAACUUGCCAUGGUGAAUGAGCUCACUCAAAAAGUAAAAGAGACUUUGAAUAACAUUUUUGAUGAGUAUAAACAGUUUGAGACAGUUGCUUCAUCUUCCAAUGAAAUGGUUCAUGAGGUAGACAUUGUUGAUCAAGUAAACAUUGGUGCAAGUGAGCACCAAGUGUCUCUUAUGACAAAAUUUCAAAAGCUUUUGGAGGAAGAAGAAGGUGACGGAGAAAAGUCAGAAGUAGAUAGGUAUUUGGAAGAAUCUUGUAAAAAGGAAGUUGUAAACUUUGACAUCUUAAGUUGGUGGAAGACAAAUUCUUUCUCAAGUUGCUAGGGAUAUUUUGGCCAUUCAUGUCUCUACUGUUGCUUCUGAGUCUACUUUCAGCAUAGGAGGUCGUAUCCUUGACCAAUUUCGUAGUUCUCUUACUCCAAAACUUGUUGAAAGUUUAAUUUGUACACAAGAUUGGUUGCGUACUUCGCCAUUGCGACUUCAGAUGGAAGAAAACUUUGCAGAUUUGAAGGACAUAGAAAGAGCUCUAACCAAUGUUAACAUAGCUGCUGGAAAGUGAUUUGGUCUGCUGGAAAUCACCUAUUACUGCUGCUGUUGCGUUGCUGCUGCCACUGCAUUGUUGUGGUGCUUUUGUUUGUCAUUCUUAAGCUAUGCUGCUGUCAACAUGCCUUUGUUUAUUUAUUUGUUUUUGUCUAAAACUACUUUAUAUUUGUUUUCUUAGAAUUUGUGGAAAAGGGAAAUGUAAUGUCUACUACUAUUGAAUUUGGUUGUUGUUAGCUACUAUUGUUGAUGUGUGUUUGCUUGGAAUGGAUGUUUUCUUAGAA